rnacentral:lncRNA from 1 species
UUUCUCCCCAAAGAGAUGAUGUUUCCCAAUAGCGCAUGCAGGUGGACCCUAACCUGGCACACACAGGCCCUCUUGGCCCUCCAGCACUGGUGCCUGGGCUCUACCAUUUGAUUGCACCCGUGUCUGUCUGUGCUAGGGCUCUGUCCUGGUCCUGUCACCCCUGAGGUAUCCUUGGAGCAUAGGGAUGCCAAAGAGCCCCAUGUGAUCUUGUCAACUCUGGGUAAACUCAAGAGGCUCCUUGGGUUUCUGAGCUGAGGGCCAAGGCAGCCCAUGUCUGGGCUUCAUUACAAAGAAAAGUGGCAAUCAAUGGGCAAUGUCCAUUAGGAGUUUUUGGAAAGGGGAUCUGGGGCGACAAACCUAGAAAGGGAUGAGGCAAAUAGUACAUCGCUGCCUUAGAUGGCUGCUUUGCUAUCGGGCUGCACUGUCUCACCCGCCAGGUGGCCGAGGAGGCCGUCGGAGGACCACAAAGCUGCAAGUGGCUUUCCUGCGGCCUGCAGGGAACAGGUGGAGGACACUUGGAAGGGCACCCACCCCGGGUCUCACAGGAGUCUGCACCCGCAGGUCACACUGGCAUUAGCCCCUCAUCCUCUGGAGUUCAUCUCAUCCAGGCGAAGACAGCUGGCUGGCCUCAGAGGGUGAGACGCAACUCGAGGGUAAAAACAUUUUUACAGGGCAUGGACACAAAAGUGGCCUUUACCUCUGGAUAAGCUUUUAAAACUUCCCAUUUACAUGUAAAGGUGUACUUUCUAUGUGCCACCAAGAAACCUAAAGUGAGUAAAAGGUGUUUCACUUUAAUCAAGUUCCCCAAUGAGGGGGCACAGCUCUGAAAAGCACUGUCACAACAGGAGAUUCGAGGGUGCAUGCAAAGCAAUGUUUCUAGAAAAUGCCAAAGGAAACAGACACAACUCCAGUGUGGACUCCCGCUUCCCUGCACUGCUGCUCCAUCCUCAGGGCGGAGGCCACAUCGUCCAGCUAGCUGUGAGAACCUCAUCAUGCUCCUUGAUUGUGUGCAGCAGGUGUCUGCUGAAGUCCUCCACACUCUGCCUGUGAGAAAACUGUACUACAGAAAGGUGAGCACCUUGCCCAAAGUUACGCAGAAAGUGAAAAAACAAGAAUUCUAACCCAGACAAGUAAGUUGUAUAAGCAAAUGAGGCUAAUAGAGAUGCCAACCAGGUGUUCAAAGGGUUAUAGUUACUUCUGGAAGUGAGGUGAGGCUCUGUAAUAGCUAAGACGUGAACCUGGUUCUCCAGGGUAGAGACAAGAGGCAACAAGAGAAGGGACUCUGCAAAGAAACCAGCAAUAGGUUGGGAACACAGGGAUGGAGAGCAGCCACGAGUUUACCUAGGUUGAAUUUGGAAAGUCUGUGCAGAGAAAGAUGCAGGUCCCACUGGGCAUGGUGGCUCACACCUGUAAUCCCAGCACUUUGGGAGGCCGAGGCAGGCGGAUCACUUGAGCCCAGGAAUUUGAGACCAGCCUGGGCAACAUGGUGAGACCCCAUAUCUACAAAAACUACAAAAAUUAGCUGGGCAAGGUGGCAUGCACCUGUGGUCCCAGCUACUUGGGAGGGUGAGGUGGAAGAAUUGCUUGAGCCCAGGAGGUGGAGGUUGCAGUGAGCCAUGAUCAUGCCACUGUACUCUAGCCUGAGCAACAGAGUGAGACCCAGUCUCGGGAGAAAGAGGGAAAGAAAGAAGGGAGAGAGGGAGGGAGGUAGGGAAGGAAAGAAGGAAGGAAGGAAGGAAAAAGAAAGAAGAAAGAAGGAAGGAAGAAAGGAAGGAAGGAAGGAAGAAAGAAAGAGAAAGAAAGAAAGAAAGAAAGAAAGAAGAAAGAAAGAAAGAAAGAAAGAAAGAAAGAAAGAAAGAAAGAAAGAAAGAAAGAAAGAAAGAGAAAGAAAGAAUCAUGCAGCUCCCUUAUUCCCCAGGCAUUCACUGAGCACUUAGUGUGUCAUAUGCAGGCUUUUAGGUUUAGGGUCCUGGGCAAUGAUACAGACAAGACAAACAGAGUCUCCUCCUUCAUGGAACUUACAUGAGUGGGACGGACAACAAACAAAUGGUCCAGACGAUUUCAGAUAGUGAUGAGUGUUCGGAGAACACUAAGCAGAAUGAUCUGAGUUUGCAACGGGCAUUGCAAUGCCUGCUGGGCUCCUUACCCCUCAGGACCUUUCCACUGGCUGCUCUCAAAGGCUGAAUAACCUUUGCCCUGUUGCUGCAGGGCCAGAUUCUCUUCUUGCAGGAUUCCUUUGACUAAACUGUCACCUUGUCAAAGAGGUCUGAUGCCGACUAAAAGUUCUCUGUUACUGGGCGUGCAGAGAGAAGCCUAUUGUGGCUGUAAGGAUGGGUGAAGGAGAAGGGCACAAAGUGGACAGCAGAAGCAGGAGCUGUCACACAGGCCUGGCCCAUCAUGGUGGAGAGUUUGGAUUUCAUUCUAAGCCAAAUGGGAAGUCAUUUUUCUUCUAAGCACAAGAACAACAUGACUGAAUUUAUGCUUUAAAUGAGCCACUUUGACUGCCCAGUUUCUCAACCACAUAGUCGAUAGAUAUAUAGAUGUAUAGAUGGGUAGGUUGGUAGACAGACAGACAGACAGACAGACAGACAGACAGGCAGACAGAUAGAUGUAUAUGUAGGUAGAUAGGUAGAUAGAGAGAUGAAUAGGUAGGAAGGUAGAUAGAUAGAUACAUAGAUACAUAGAGAGGUGUAUAGGUAUAGGUAGGGAGGUAGAAAGAGAGAGAGAUGUAUAGGUAGGUAAGUAGAUAGAUGUAUAGACAGAUAGAUAUAUAGAUAGAUAUAGAGAUAGAUAGAUGAUAGAUAGAUAGAUAGAUAGAUAGAUGUCUAUAGGUAGGCAGUUAGGUAGAUGGAUGCACAGAAGGAUGGACAGAUGGAUGGAGGGAUGGAGGGAUAGAUAUAGAUAGAUUUGUGAAUAUAGAUACCUAUCUGUCUCUCUCUAGCUAGAGAUAAAAUAGACAAGUGGCUUCAUGCAUCAGUAGCAUUGAAAGACACCUCGAAUGUGGCCUUACUUCAAGGUGAUGGAAUUUCUUUUUAAGCUCAGCUUCUACUUCCCUUCUGAGGAAGUUCAUGACAGGGAGCUGCUGCAACUGAUGUGACUUUCAACUCUAAUAUCCCGAUGAUGUAAAUGCACUGAUCAGCUCAGCAGGAUUUAAGGUCUCAUCCGCUGAGCAGUGCCUCCUCCCGAUUCAGCACGUCCCUGGUGCCGACUUUCUGCACGUGUUCACUUUGAGGCUGCAUUGUGGGCCUGCAAGAAAUGCAAAGCUGGUUGAGGCUUUAUUCAAUUCAAAUUCAAGCUGUUAAAUCGAGGCUCUCAGACUCCUGCUGCCUGGCCAGUGGAGAAAUUAACUUUCACAUAUGGCUUUGGGAUUUCUCUCUGUCAUCCUGGUCGACGUGUUCUCUCAUUUUUCUGAAGUCUGGGACCUCAACACAGACAUCUGGGUGAAGGCCUUGACAGCAGCGCUGGUGCAAAAUGAAUUGUCACAUCACACCCAACGUUCUCAACCUUUAGAAUCUGAAAGUAAGAAAAACACCUCAAACAUUGAUUCUGAGUAAUCAGCACAGAUUUCUAAAAGAAACUUUAUGGGAUGCUGAGACAUGAAUAAAAACAACUUUAUUCCUUUGGAAAGGACAACCCACAUGCUAAGAAGAUGACACUACACGUUGUUAUAGCCCGAAAGGCCCUCUUUCCACAGGGGAGCAGUGAAAAGUAGAGGUUGCCCAUGUGGAUUCCCAAGUCAGAUAGAUGUGGAUUCAGAUCCCAGCUCUGCUGCUUGCUACCCAAGAGACCAUGGACUGUGGACUCUUUAGGUCUCAGGGUUUUUGUUUGUUGUCUGUUUUUCACUUCCAAAACCAGAAAAUGAGAAGAUAUUUUCCAUAAGAUGGCGGUGGUGAGUAAAUGUAAUUAUAUGUCUAAAGCUAUGGGCAUGAAAGCUUGGCACACAUUUAAGUAAGUGCUUGAUAAAUGUUAAUUCUUACAACUAUUGGUAUCAUUUAGAUUUAGGUUGCUGAGUUAGUGGGAAAUAAUGUCCUUAUCAUGUGAGGAAUCCCUAUUCUCAAAAGGGGUUAUUAUCAUUAGAAUGCUAACUGUUUUCAAAACAGCUAAUUGACCAUUUUAUUCAGAAGCACCAUCUGCUACUCAUUAGGGUCUAGGUUUCUGUCAGCUCACGGGUGCCCAUAUGUGAGUUGAUAACCCUAUUUCAGUCUUGGUUGUUGAAUCCUCAGUGUCUGCGGUUGACUGACUAUCAGGUAUUUGCAUCUCUGAAAGUAAUUUUCAGCAGUGAGUUUUUAGUUAGGUUCUUUGGUUACAGUUCUGGAUAAUUAACACUAAAAUGAGACAUCUUAGAAGGCUUUGGCUCAGAUAAUUGAGAGAAGUGAAUGUUGAACAAGAUUCAGGAAGGGAAGAGCUGGGAUACCCCAAUGUCUGGAUUUCAUGCUCUUUUUCUCCAAGCACAUCCACUGUGGGGCUUGGCCUCAAUCCCCUAGAUGUCUUCAAUAUAAUCUUCAAUUGUCAGGAGAAGAGAACUUGAUGGACCUUGCUUGGACAAAAUGCCUUCACCGCUAACUCAGUCAGCUAUGGCGAUGGGUCAAGGACCUGGUGGUUUUACAGAGAAGACCCUUGGUCAAAUCUUUGUGAAUGAAGCAACCAUUCUGAUGUUCAAUAACAGGGUAAGUGCUGGCCAAUGAUGUCAUUAUCGUCCAUCCUGUGGCUUCCACACAUCAGUGAUCUUAUUAGAUACCUGCAAUUUCAACCCACUAUAUCAGAAUUCCAUAGGAAUGAGUUGUUUUUAAAGUUCUUCAGAGUGAAUUUGGAUGCUCAGUCAUUAUAAAGAACUAUCUUCAUCCUACAAAGACUGGUGUUUUUUCUUUCCUUGUUUAUCUUGGAAUUUUUUUCCAAUUGCAGCCUUGAAAACCAUUUCCAAUAAUGUCAGAAUUUGCUUAAAAGAUUGUGAAAGACGGUAAUCUGGAUUGUAAUACUGGGUCAAAGAGACCAUACCAGGAGCCAACCAUGCUAAAUCUAACUUUAAAAUACAGAAUUACAAUGUUAAGACAAGUUCCAUAGAGUGAUAAGGUCUAUGUGGUACUUACUAUUUUACACACAUUUUCCUACACUUAGUGUAACUGUCUCCUAAUUAAAUGCAAUUGUUUUAAAUUAGCUGAUGUGUGUUUUAUGUGAUAUAGCUUUAUAUCCUAAGCCAGAAUAAAAAUAUUCUGAGAGUG